GCCCAUGCGGUAAGCACAUAGCGAACUAUUCUUUCGCCUUUUACUAAAGAAUACCGUGUGCUUGCCGCUCUAUUGUGGCAUACGCUUAUUUUUGGAGGGGUUGAUCUCACUGGAUAU